UCCUUCCAAUUAUCAAACUUUUAUAUAUCUAUAUAUGUAAAGAUGUUUGGACUUUAAUUGAGAAGAGUAGUAUUAUUAUAAUAUUACUUUCUUAAAAACCAGAAAUAUUUUGUUUUGGUUUUCUUCCAACUCAUUUUGUAUUUAAUAUAACAAAUGAGUGUGAAUGUUAACAAACAACAAUAAUAAUACCUUU
rnacentral:misc_RNA from 1 species